CUGAGAGUGACCUUUGGGUGGAGAUCCACAGGAAGGGGACGUUUAAGGCUGGGCUGGGGGAGUGCAGGGGAGAAUGUUCAAAGUGGAGGUGACUGGAUGGGCAAAGGCUUGAGCAAGGGCAAGCUUGAGGAGUCAAAGAACAAGAGAGGAAACCAGGGUGGGUACAGUACCAAGGGAAGCAAAGCGAGUUGGGCUGGAGUGGGUCAGGGCCAGGCCAUGUGGGGCCUCGCAGGCCUCAUGAAGGACUAUGAGAAUGAUGUGUUCUUCGUUUUUUUGAGACAGAGUCUCACUCUGUUCC
rnacentral:lncRNA from 1 species